CUCAAACUAUGUGGCUUCUUCUCAAACUUUAAUUUGUUGUAAUUGCUAAUUCAAACAUUUAAAAUUAUCCAAAUUAAGUUGUAUAACCCAAUUUAGUUGACUAAAUGUUACUGUAUCGCUAAUAUAGAAGUGAUAUAGCAGUAUCAUGAUUGACGAUGUGUGUCAAUAAUUAAGAUGCUGUGUCACUUUUACAUCAGCAGACGACUUAGCCGACCAGCACUUAUAACUCGUAGAAUCCUAA
rnacentral:lncRNA from 1 species